rnacentral:lncRNA from 1 species
GCAUAUCCUUGGCUCUGCUUUCUGACCAAUCUCAGCCUCAUGUGAUACACCAAUUUCUCUCUUGGUUAGCCUAGGCUUUUCAUAACAGAGUAUAAAACCAAGGACUUAGAACAAGGACUGGAUCUAAAUCCUUUCCCAAAGCAGUGUGAUCUUGACCUUCCGACCUUCCUGAGUUAAAAGCGAUUAAAAUGUAAAGCUAUAGCCCUGCGCUCGGUUUAGAAUGAGGCCAUGGUCGGUGACUGCUAGUAUUUCUCUAAGGAAACUAUGGGCAUAUCCCUCAGUGUACUUUAAAUGGAUAGUGGAAAACUUCCAGUUUCUUGAGGUGAAAGUGCCCUAGAUAUAGUGCUGCACUGUGGAGAACACCUUGGAAUAAGAUGGAAUUGUAUAACCCUAAGUGUGCUGCAACCCCAAAGUGUGCUGUGACUUUAAGAGUGCUGUAACCUAAGUAUAACACAAUAAUGAGUGAUGUGUAAUCAUAAGAUAUGAAAGUAAUGAAAGUAGAACCUUAAGUGGUAUGGAACUGAUAAGGGCGUACCCCCGAAAAUUGGGCAGAGUAUGCCCCAAGCUGGACAGUGUGAUAAGUCUGAACCAAUACCACGAACGCCCAGCUAGAAUAGUAUAAAAGGAGCUGAAGACCCCAAGCAAAUCGACGAUCCGUCCCACCAACCAGUCGACCAGUCAAUCUGAUGAUCUGACUACCGACCGAGACAUCUGCACUCCUGAUCCCGCUGGGAGGAGCAUCGCCGCCGACCAGACGAGACCAGAGGACGAGGCAAGCGGAGAGGCGGAUAGCCUAGCGCUGACUCGACGCCCUUCGUCUACGGAUUGGACCCUCUGACCCUGCGGGAGGAAACGUCGCACUCCCAUUAAGGACUUGCGCAGUACAGGAAAUUUGAAGAAGAAGGCUUAUCUGGCUCAGACUGGUUGAAACCAUGUCUAUCUGCAGGAAGAACAGGCAACAUUCUGAUGUCAGAGGGCAAAACCUGCCUUCAGAGGAAGAUGCUCAACAGCCCAUGGUGUGUAAGCCAAUGUCCACACUUUAUGAGCAGAGAGCUAAGAUGGACCCCGAGGGUGCUGGACACAACAGCAGGAAAUAGGGGUGAGGAGGAAAAACCGGACCAGGGAGAGCUGCCUGCUGUCUGGACACUCCUUGAAGGCCCUCGGGACUCCCCAGGCCCCAGGGGAAAGAUCCUGGAGCAUUACAGGUGUGCAGGGAAUGUUAGUUCUUUUCUCUUGCUCUGGUUCUCCAGGAGUCAGAUUUUAAGAAGGAACAAGUGGCGAGGUUUGGCCAAGGGUGGCACAGUCCUCGCCCUUUUGCAGCUAUGGCAGGGAAAAUUCUGAAUUGCUCUAUACACUGGGGCAGUAGAUGUCCUGCCUCCCUGCAGCCAGGGAACCUCAUCUCUCGGGGGAGAGGCCUAUCUUCACCAUCGGAAGCAGUGGCUUCCAUUCCCUCACUUUUAGAGAUAAUCUCAGUUUUGUUUGUUUCUUUGUUUUCUUGUAAGAGCCAAGAACUCUCAAAGGUCCUUCUUGGGCUUUUUCCAGGAGUGCCUUUGAAACACAAAAAAAUUCUUAAAAUUCUUACACCUGAACACAGAGGGUCCUAAACUGCUAAACAAAAGGCUACAUUCCCUUCCAGAGAGGAAAAAAGG